rnacentral:rRNA from 1 species
GGCUACGGCCAUAUCACGAUGAAUGCACCUCAUCCCGUCCGAUUUGAGAAGUUAAGCAUCGUCGAGCCACAUCAGUACUGAGGUUGGAGACAACUUGGGAACCUGUGGCGCUGUAGUCU